UGGCGGACGGGUGAGUAACGCGUGGGUAACCUGCCUCAUACAGGGGGAUAACAGUUAGAAAUGACUGCUAAUACCGCAUAAGACCACAGCACCGCAUGGUGCAGGGGUAAAAACUCCGGUGGUAUGAGAUGGACCCGCGUCUGAUUAGGUAGUUGGUGGGGCAACGGCCUACCAAGCCAACGAUCAGUAGCCGACCUGAGAGGGUGACCGGCCACAUUGGGACUGAGACACGGCCCAA
rnacentral:rRNA from 1 species